AUUUACUCUGAAAGACCCCCAGAGCGGGGAGACCCUCACUCAAGUCUCGGGAUGACAUGACCCCCAAGAACUCACGUAAGACA
rnacentral:pre_miRNA from 14 species